CUUUAUAGCUGUUACUCUUUUGUACUUUGUCUUUUUCUUUUAUUUUCUUUUGAGCGAUUGUGCGAACAUAGCAUAGCACGCACUAUGCCUUCUGUGUUGUAGCUGCCUGGCCAGGGCGACUGGCGGAUAAGGUCUUGUGCGUGGCCUCGAGGCUUAAAAGUAGCAGUGGGGCUUUGUGAAGGACAAAAUGGCGAUGGCGGGCCGUGUAGGUCCCCCUUCCUAUGAUGAGGACCUUUUCACAGACCUGUACUGAGCUCCGUGAGGAUAAAUAACUCUGAGGAGAUGGGCCCUGCAAGCCUCUUGCUUAGCCGUCUGUUCAGAAAAUAGCGUUUUCGAAAUGCCCUGAGUUGACCUAAUGUCUUAUUGGGCUCCUGUCUGCAGGAUUUACGCGCACGUUGGAACCGAAGAGAGCUCUGUUGUUGCAAUGUUCAGCCCACAAGAGCUUACUGGUGAAGGAAUGGGACAAGACCCAUCUUUAUGCAAAGCCAGCGUUACAGUAAUGUUCCAGGUAGGUGUACAUGGUUUAUGCUCUUACAGAGGAGACCUUGUAGAUAACCACUCCAUGAUGAACACAAAAUGACAAGCAUAUGGCUGAACUUUCAAGUGAUGUCAUCUUACUACUGAGAAGUGAGAGAGAGGUCUUAAGGGGUCUUUGAAUGACUAUUUUUAGGUACAUAAAAUGCUUUCCUCUGUUGUCUACAGCAUCUCAUAAUCUAUCCUGGGGAAUUCAGCUGCCUCCCAGGGUGAAUACAGGUAAUUAUCCAAAUUGGUGUAUGUCAUCUUUGUAAAUGUUCAAGAAAACAAGUGGCCGGCGGAACAAUGUUUUUUGGCGCCUUCCAUCUUGUUCCUCUUGAAAUGAUUUUCUGGGGAGGGAGAUCGCAACCCGGUACUACAGUUCUUGUAAGGGUGUGCUGUUACCCUCAUCCAUAUAUCGAUCACGUUACUGUCAGAUGAUUUGAAUUGAUAAGCUGAUGUUCUGUGAGGUACAAAAGUUAAUAGCAUGUUAGAGUUCUGAUGGCAGUUGUUGUUUAUGAAUAAGCUUCAUUCCAUCCUAAUACCUUAAAAUAACUAAUUUGCUUUCCUUUCCAGGUAUUCCUGAUGACAGUCUGCCUCUAUCUUACAGUAAGUUGUUUUUCGAAUUCUAUGGGCCUAUUAUCUAAUAGAUAACUUAGCCAUUUUGAUAUUUGUUACCAAAGCCUGCUUAACCCAUAAAGUUUUCUGGUUCCUCUUGUUCUCUGUAGUGAUGUUUCUAGAUAGAUGCCCACUGAUAUAUGCCCCUUUUUUCUCAGAUAGAUGCCCACUGAUCUGCCCAGGGUCAGACGAAUGCUUGUCAGUUGUAGCUUUCCAGGAUUCUGCUCCAAUGAGGAGGAAACAUCCUGCCUUACCCCUGUUUUAGCCUGGGAACCAGUAAUUGUGAACUCACCAGGGUUAACAUGAAGAGGGCAUGAGAGCUUAUUCCAUAAGGAAUUGUCUGAGACAUUUGGUUACCUUUUCUUAGUUUGUCCAUUAGCAACCGUAACUAAAAUAGUUUUGGCUGUUUGGGAUAAUUAGCUAAUUGAAUGAUUUUUUGAUUCAGGAGCAGCUUGUUGCUAUAUACCAUUGAAAAGCCUUCAGAGCUGAGAGGUACUACUAACCAAUAACCUGCUUGGCUCAAAGGGCCAGCACCUUCUCUCUAAAGCCCAAGAGGAGUUUGAGGUAAAUGGCUUUGCAAUAGUUACCAUCAAUGGCUGCUAUAUAAAAUUUUCUGUGAUUUUUGUGUGUGAUAGCACUGUGGUCUGGGUGAAUGUACACAGACAUAACUGGCUUAACCCAAAGUCUUUGAUCUCCUGAACCACCAGUGAUGAAUUGCUGCUCACCAGUGAUGAGUUGAAUACCGCCCCAGUCUGAUCAAUGUGUGACUGAAAGGUAUUUUCUGAGCUGUGAGCCUGCCUUCCAGUGACAUGUUCUAAAAAUUGCAAGUUAUUUGAGGAGGCUUUACAGCCAAUAGGAAGUUCUUGGGCUAAGUAGUGUUUCCUAUAAAAUGUGCCCUGAAACUUCUUUCUGCCAAGCAAUAGAUACAAUUGAGAGAUUGUAAAAUGUGACAUAGAAUGAAAGUCUCUCAAGACUACAUUUUUCUUUCUUGAUUUUGCAGGAAAACUAGGUGUCUGUGUUCACUCCAGGCUGAAGUUACAGGUGAGUAAACCUAAAUGUAAGGUGGACUAUGCUAAAAAUUCCCAAUGAAGAAACUUUCACAUGUCUUACUCUCUGUCCUAGUCCCAGAGCCUGUAAAGGUGAACCCACUGGGACUGGCUGGGGGAGAAGAGGAAGAUUUGUUCCAGAAGGAACUGUCUGAGGGAUGAUAAAGAUUUCUAUACAGAGAAAGGGAGUAAUCAUCACUUGUUGAAAACAUUGGUUUUAUUUUUUCCAGGUCUGAGCAAAUAAGGUGUAUAAAAAAUGGAAUCUGUCUUGGAGGACAUCAGAAGGUGAAUUUUCCAAGUUCUUGGACAACCUAGCUGUUGAAAAGCUUUCUGGGUUUGGGGGGUAUUUCAGAUGUACCUUAAAGUGUUAGCAGACACAGAUUAAGACACUGGGAGCCAAUGAAACAGCAGUUGAGGGUUUGCUGUGUAUCACAUUUCUGUAUUUUAUCACCCCCUUCCUGCAACAUUAUUUAUCUGGAAUCUACCUGCCCUUUUGUUUUUUAGAUACAAGGGCUUGGUUUUGUUACCCAGGCUGGUUUCAAGGCCAUAGCUUUAAGAGAUCCUCUCACCACAGAUUUCCAAAGUGCUGGGAUUGCAGGUGUGAUUCAUGGCACCCAGACUUUGCUGCCUUUCUUACAUGAUCCAGGCCCAGAACCCAAACUCAGGCACUGUAUAGAUGACCACUUUCGUAAACUACUGACCUAGCUUGUUGCCAAUUGUUGAUUGAACUUCCCAUAACUCCACUUCGUGUCUGUUCCUCUGUAUACAGCCACCUUCUGUUCCCGUCAUGAGCCUUUAGGUCUCCAUUUGCAUAUUGCAAAUACUAUGUUCCAUGUAGGUAGCUCAUUCAGGGCCUUGCUCUUCACUUCAAAAAAGGUUCCCUUGAGGACUGGCUGUCAAUUUGUGUUGCUGUGUUGGUUGUUGAUGAAAAUAAUAAAAUGA
ensembl:lncRNA SNHG1 small nucleolar RNA host gene 1